GUGCCCUUUCUAGGCUGACACAGUCCUGUAAGAGGCUAGCACAGAUGGGUAGAGGAAAUCUCUAUAAACUCAGAAAAGGCGCUGCAAACCUCCAGCCACAGCU
rnacentral:snoRNA from 1 species